GAUGAACGCUGGCGGCGUGCCUAAUACAUGCAAGUCGAGCGAACAGACGAGGAGCUUGCUCCUCUGACGUUAGCGGCGGACGGGUGAGUAACACGUGGAUAACCUACCUAUAAGACUGGGAUAACUUCGGGAAACCGGAGCUAAUACCGGAUAAUAUAUUGAACCGCAUGGUUCAAUAGUGAAAGACGGUUUUGCUGUCACUUAUAGAUGGAUCCGCGCCGCAUUAGCUAGUUGGUAAGGUAACGGCUUACCAAGGCAUCGAUGCGUAGCCGACCUGAGAGGGUGAACGGCCACACUGGAACUGAGACACGGUCCAGACUCCUACGGGAGGCAGCAGUAGGGAAUCUUCCGCAAUGGGCGAAAGCUUGACGGAGCAACGCCGCGUGAGUGAUGAAGGUCUUCGGAUCGUAAAACUCUGUUAUUAGGGAAGAACAAAUGUGUAAGUAACUAUGCACGUCUUGACGGUACCUAAUCAGAAAGCCACGGCUAACUACGUG
rnacentral:rRNA from 1 species